UUCAUGUAUUAGGUUAGUUUAACUUCAUUCUUUAAAGUAAAGCACAUUGUAAUUCUUUUAACAGGAUAACCAAAAUAUUUAUAAAUGAUGUCUACAUUUACAAAAGUUAUUUCCCCUUUGCAGGGUUAAGCUGGACAUACAUUAAGUAUGGCUGUCGGAAUAGAUGGAAACUUGUCCUGCCACUGGUGUUGGAAGUUUUUCUUCUAUGGCCCAGUUGUGCAGACGGCAACAACACUCAAUAAUACGAACGCAUUUUGUUGGGGUGUAUGCUAAAGCCCCACCUGUUUUGUGAAGACAUCUGGAAUGAAAUUACAGUCACAUUGUUAUAUAUGGGUUAAAUAGCAGCAACUUUAAGACACCGAAGGCCCUCUCAACACAAUUCCUUGUUUUGAUGUGGCUCUCGUUAUACUUCUCCUGCUGUUGGGUCUGUGGAGAGAGUAUUGGUGUCAUUAGCCAUGGGCGGAGAGGGUAACCACUGUCGCCCAAAAGCCAGCCCCCACCUGGGAGCUGCUCCAUUGUUUCUGGAAUGUUGCUGUUUGCAAGUCAGCUGUCACAAUCCCUUGCAUAUUAAUGGCAUGAAACCCUUUCCUGGACACAAACACAUGUUCAUCAUCUGUCGACAUUCCUAUGAUGGGAAUCAGAGUCCCAUCAAUGGCUCCGACAACAUUAGGAAAAUUGGACAAUCUCAGAAAGUCUUCUUUGGUUUUCAGAAUCUCAGCUGGUCGAGAAGGGAAGAUUAUGUUAUCUAAACUUCCAUUCAAGGCAUCGACAACAUCCAUAAACAUUCUGCUAAAUGAGGGCUGAGAGAUGCCAUGAAUGUCUGCAGCCUCAGACUGGAAAUCUCCUUUGGCCAGGACCCUGAGAGUUGACAAUACCUAAGAAUUUUGUACAUAAAUAUUUCUAAAUUGCGUUUUCCUGUGGAAUUAAAAAUAAUUAUGUUUUCUCUGGAUUAAUAUAAAUGUUUAAUAAAUAUGGGUAUUUGAA